AUUUAAAUAGUAUAAUAAAGUACAAUUAAUUUCCAAUUAAUAAGACUAAACAAAUUUAGUUUAAAUA
rnacentral:tRNA from 1 species